GGCGAGUGAGCGGCAAAAGCUCAAAUUUGAAAUCUGGCACUUUCAGUGUCCGAGUUGUAAUUUGAAGAAGGUAUCUUUGGGUCUGGCUCUUGUCUAUGUUUCUUGGAACAGAACGUCACAGAGGGUGAGAAUCCCGUGCGAUGAGAUGUCCCAGACCUAUGUAAAGUUCCUUCGAAGAGUCGAGUUGUUUGGGAAUGCAGCUCUAAGUGGGUGGUAAAUUCCAUCUAAAGCUAAAUAUUGGCGAGAGACCGAUAGCGAACAAGUACAGUGAUGGAAAGAUGAAAAGAACUUUGAAAAGAGAGUGAAAAAGUACGUGAAAUUGUUGAAAGGGAAGGGCUUGAGAUCAGACUUGGUAUUUUGUAUGUUACUCUCUCGGGGGUGGCCUCUACAGUUUACCGGGCCAGCAUCAGUUUGAGCGGUAGGAUAAGUGCAAAGAAAUGUGGCACUGCUUCGGUAGUGUGUUAUAGUCUUUGUCGAUACUGCCAGCUUAGACUGAGGACUGCGGCUUCGGCCUAGGAUGUUGGCAUAAUGAUCUUAAGUCGCCCGUCUUGACCCA
rnacentral:rRNA from 1 species